UACGGAGGGUGCAAGCGUUGUCCGGAAUCACUGGGCGUAAAGGGCGCGUAGGCGGCCCGGUAAGUAGGGGGUGAAAUCCUGCGGCUUAACCGCAGGGCUGCCUUCUAAACUGUCGGGCUCGAGCACGGUAGAGGCAGAUGGAAUUCCCGGUGUAGCAGUGAAAUGCGUAGAGAUCGGGAGGAACAUCAGUUGCGAAGGCGGCUCUCUGGACCAGCACUGACACUGAGGCACGAAAGCGUGGGGAGCAAACAGG
rnacentral:rRNA from 1 species